rnacentral:rRNA from 1 species
UACGUAGGGGGCAAGCGUUGUCCGGAAUCAUUGGGCGUAAAGCGCGUGUAGGCGGCCCGGUAAGUCCGCUGUGAAAGUCCAGGGCUCAACCCUGGGAUGCCGGUGGAUACUGUCGGGCUCGAGUCCGGAAGAGGAGUGUGGAAUUCCUGGUGUAGCGGUGAAAUGCGUAGAUAUCGGGAGGAACACCAGUGGCGAAGGCGACUACCUGGCCUGUUCUUGACGCUGAGGCGCGAAAGCUAGGGGAGCAAACGGG